rnacentral:rRNA from 1 species
AACGAACGCUGGCGGCAUGCCUAACACAUGCAAGUCGAACGAGACCUUCGGGUCUAGUGGCGCACGGGUGCGUAACGCGUGGGAACCUGCCCUUAGGUUCGGAAUAACUCCCCGAAAGGUGUGCUAAUACCGGUUAAUGUCUUCGCACAAAAGAUUUAGCGCCUUUGGAUGGGCCCGCGUUGGAUUAGCUAGUUGGUAGGGGAAAAGCCUACCAAGGCGACGAUCCAUAGCUGGUCUGAGAGGAUGAUCAGCCACACUGGGACUGAGACACGGCCCAGACGCCUACGAGAGGCAGCGGUGGGGAAUAUUGGACAGUGGGCGAAAGCCUGAACCAGCAAUGCCGGGUGAGUGAUGAAGGCCUUGGAGUUGUAAAGCGCUUUUGCCCGGGAUGAUAAUGACAGUACCGGGAGAAUAAGCCCCGGCUAACUCCGU